AGAUGUUUGUAUGAAGCUGGGGCCAACACAGGAUAGGAGUCUCCCGCUGGUGGAGAGGAAAGGAAUGCCUGGCGAGUCAGCCCAGGACGAAGAUAAGGAUGAAGAAGCUGAAACCAGGCUGAUUAGACCCUCUCUGCUUCCUGCUCUCCAGACCAGGUAACACCAAAAGGACUUGUUGUUUCUGCGGGGCAGCCAGAAACUGUUCUUACAAUGGUCUGUCUUUACACACUUACAUCACAGCAAGGUCUGGGAUUGUCUUGAAAUAUGUGUGUGUGUCAAGCUACUCAAAACACACAUAUACAAAAACACAGUUUUUGACACACACACGCACACACACACACGUCAAAAUUUGGACUCAGACACACACACUGUACCAGAAGAAUGCUUGUAGGAACAGUAUACUUAGAUCAGAUUUUUGGCCUGUUUGUGUGAAAUCUCCAGCUGUACAGUAGCAUGUAAAAAACAGAGCAAGAGGAAAGAGAACCCAAGACAGGGAAAGAGGCCUGUGUGGGGAAAGAGACUGGCAGAGCCCUCAUCUAAAGUAAGCGAGCAGGUUUUACUACCAGCUGAGGAAUGUAGACAUGAAUCGGCUUUUAUUGUUUUACACAGAACAGCAACUAUCUCUUUCUCCGUCUUCAACCACAUUUAAACCCCCUUGCUCUCGUUUAUCCUUAUUUCUACUCCUUCCAAAGUCACACACUCUCUCUCUCUCUCUCUCUCUCUCUCUCUCACACACACACACACAAAUAAGCAUACAGUUAUAACACAAGUUCAUCAUAGUGGUCUGUUACACUGAUUGCCACCCUAGAGAUAAUUAAUUUUAAUUAAUUUUAAAAACUGAUUUAUUAGGAAUAUUGAAAAAUCAAAAGGUUUCAGCUUGUGCCGCUUCAGGUUACAAAUAAAUUGAACACUUCUACUUUCUAAUUCUUCUUUUGAAAGUUUUUAUUCAGUCCUGUAAUUUUGGAUCGAACAUACUGUACAUAGCGUACAACUGUUAUUUUUCUUUUUAGUCUCACAUCUGAAGCAUCUGUGAGUGUCCCCUUUAAUGUGAAGUCUAAAGUGAUAUAUAGAUGUACUGUAUAGAUAUGUAUCCUUGCAGUGCAUGCAUAUGACUGUGUGUUUGUGUGUAGGUAAGUAUGACGGAUUACUGUGUCUCUGCAGUAGCUGGUGAAGUGUGUUAGGGGUUGACCAAGGCCGUCUGCACACUCUCUCUCCCCAAACACUCAUACUAGCAUGUCAGCGAUGAUAAAGUUAAGCUACAGAGUGUAGAGUUCCCUCAGGUAUACUUAGCAAGGCAAACCUGCUGCACACACUUUAUCAUGAGACGAGGGAGGAGGGGUGUAAGACAAGGCGCUUAUAUGACACACACUACCCCUAUAUGCAACCAGCAUACCAUACAUUAUACUCCACUGUGGAGGCGAGUAUACCCACACAAUGUGAAGUUUAAAAUCAUAUCUGUCAGCUGGAGCUGUUGCUUAGUUUUGUUAGCAGAGAAAACAGUGACAUGAUAGGGGUUUAAUGUUAGUAUGGUAGCCUUAGCUUGUUAGUGUUAGCUGCAGUUAACUUACAUGUUACGCAAAUCUGUUCAGUUUUUGUAGAGCUAUUCCCAAGGAUAACGAAUGGAUGGAGAAACAUGAGCGCGAGACAGAUAGAGCAAAACCAGUACAACCAGCAUCUUUUUAGGGACAUUCUCUUUGGUGAAUGUUUAGUUACUCUUGAUGCUUCUGCUAAGGCAUCUGAACCAGGACCUUCAGGAGAGGUGCAAGUGUUGCUACCCCAGCCAACAGAUUACAUACUGGCUGGGGUGAGACUUGUGAAUGGGCGUCUUUCGAGAUUGCCCUCAGCAAUAUGAUGGCAAUGUAAACAUACAAUCUAGCUAGUCAGUGCAGCAUCUCCAUAUAUGAUAUUUUUGUAUCUGCCUGUUGCUGUUGUUGAACCAAAGAGAAUAGGUCUGACAGACUAACGCUGUACAAAAGAAUAAUGGUCUGCUGGCCUAGUAAACUGCACAUACUCAGGACCAGUUUCUGGUGCUUUUCCCCUGAAUCUAUUCAUACUAGGAGGCUGUGAUUGUUUCUCAUCAAACUCUGAACCUGGCCAGUGUUGUCACCAGGUCUCCAUGCCACAACUGUGACCUGACCUACUCUGCUGCUCCCUCUCCUCACCCCUGAG